CCUACGGGUGGCAGCAGUGAGGAAUAUUGGUCAAUGGCCGGAAGGCUGAACCAGCCAAGCCGCGUGAAGGACGAAGGUGCCAAGCAUUGUAAACUUCUUUUGUCGAGGGACAAAAUCAGGCUCGAGAGCCUGACCGAGGGUACUUGAAGAAAAAGCAUCGGCUAACUCCGUGCCAGCAGCCGCGGUAAUACGGAGGAGGCGAGCGUUCUCCGGAUUUAUUGGGUUUAAGGGGUGCGUAGGCGGGCUGUUAAGUCCGCGGUAAAAGCCCGGGGCUCAACCCCGGCGAGCCGUUGAAACUGGCUGUCUUGCUCUGUCGAGAGGUAUGCGCAAUGCGCCGUGUAGCGGU
rnacentral:rRNA from 1 species